rnacentral:lncRNA from 12 species
GCUUCAACCAGACAUCAAAGGUUUUGUCUGGCUCUUUUCAUGCUAGAUGUUGAAACUCCAGCAAAGAUGCUAUUGGGCUCUAAGGGCAGUGACUAGAUAAGGCAAUGUCUCAGUCCAUUUGGUCCGCUGUUACAGAAUACCAUAGACUGGGUGCUGAUAAACAACAGAAAUUGUUCUGGAGGCUGGAAAGUCCAAGAUGAAGCCUCCAGCACCUUCAGUGUCUGGUGAGAACCCGCUUCCUAGUUCUUAGCCAGCCGUCUUCUUGCUGUGUCUUCACUUGGUGGAAGGGGGCAAGGCUAUCUCUUGGGCCUCUUUCAAAAGGAUACUAAUCCUAUCCACUGAGGGCUCAACCCUCUUCACCUAAUCCCCUCCUCCCAAAGUUUUUACCUCCUAAUUCCAUCACCUUGGGGGUAUGAUUUCAACCUACAGAUUUGGAGAGGACAUAAACAUUCAGUCCAUUGCCUGCAGUGACAAGAGUCGAGGUGAAAUAAGUUCUGUGAGGCAGCCUCCUUGAAGUUUCAGAAAUCUGGCAUCUGUGGAUUUUGCCCUAAAGAUAGUUUCUAGAUGGAGUUGAGUUAUCCUUUAAUUACCUGGACUUGCUGGUUGGAGUUGUUGUGUUCACUGAAGCCUUGCUCAUGUUGGCUAUUGACCUCAAUGUGGCUCUUGACUAGAACCUACAUUAAGAAGGAAAAUUCUGUGGGUCAGAAUGUGGCACCGCAGGAGCGCCGGCCUAUAGCACCUGCUUUUGACCUGAUGGACCUCUGCAGACACCUUCCCUUCAACUUCUACCAGCCUAAGCCCCAUGCAAAGGUUCCAGAUGGUGCUCAAGGCAAGAAUGUUUCUCAAAACAGGGGACUGCAGGUGUGGGUAGAGCAAUCAGAGAGGCUUUGGGCAUAG